GAAAUGCGAUAAGUAAUGUGAAUUGCAAAAUUCCGUGAAUCAUUAAAUCUUUGAACGCACCUUGCGCUCUUUGGCAAUCCAGAGAGCAUGUCUGUUUGAGAAUCAGUUUAAAUCUCACCUCCAAUGGAUUAACAUCCAAAGGCAGUGGUUGUGGGUUUUUUAUGUGUAAACAUAAAAUACCUUAAAUACAAGUUGACUGGUAUAUACUCGUUUUAGUUUACUGGAAAGCAUGACCAAUGGACUUUUGUUCAUGAUUGCUGAUAAAGGUAACUAGUAUGAUUAUAAACAUCCGAUCAAUUCAUUUUUAAAAAACAAAGGGUGAAAACCUUUUAAGACUUGAUCUCAAAUCAGACAAGACUACCCGCUGAACUUAA
rnacentral:misc_RNA from 1 species